GACUGUGAGAUCAUGACCUGAACUGAAAUCAAGAGUCGGACACUUAGCCACAUGAGCCACCCGGGCACCCAAUAACACACUAUUUGUAAAGGGCUUUGUAAACCAUUCUGCUGGGCACAAGGUGGGGUCAUUAUGAUGGAGAUUAUGGUUCUGUGUUAAGGAAGGUAUGUUAAGUCCCCUGGGCUGAGCUUGUCAGCUGCCCAGAGCGCCCUGGCUCCACUCGGCAUCCAUUUCCUUCUUUAUCACUCAUGGUCCUAUGGAUUCAAGGGUGCACGCUUGGCUACCAUCAGGUGAGUUCCUUGUCUUCCAGGCUCACCUUCCCUGGACCCUGGGGAUGGGGGAAGGAAGACUUUAUCUUGUCCUACUGUCCCAGAGUCCUAAUCAGUGUCUGAUGUCCAGGGUUUUCCCUGAGGCCCUGGAGGCCUUAUUUAAAAGACCCUUGGCAGACAUCUGUGGGAACUGCAUCCCUAGAGGAGGUUACGCUCCCUGGAGCUCCUUCCCCACGGCAGGGUAGGAGCCCCACCAAGGUUCAAAGGUGGACCAGAAAGAAGUGCAGCUGGGCUGAGUGGGCAGUGAGGUCUUUGGAGGACUGCCUGGGGACAAACCACCAGAAGGAGAAACGGAGAUGGCUCUAUUUCCAACUAGAAGAAUAAGGAAGGGGAAAAAAGCUAGCUAGCAAAAUGAAGAGUCUCAUCCUUUUGUGGCAAAGAGACCAGCUGUCCACGGAUCCCUGUGCCCUCCACGGAGCACCCAGCUACGCUGCACUUCCCAGCACCUUUGUGACCCUGCUUGGCUCUGUGACUAAAGGCACAUGGAAUACAGGCGUGCCAUUACACCGUCCCAUGUGCAACCUGACCCGCUCUCCUGCCCCGCAUCUGCCCGCUGAAUAUGACCUUGGAAGCCACUGUUGAAGAGGGCUGCACAGCGGGCAGCCUGGGCUCCCGUGUGGCCACAUGGAGCAGAAUCUUCCACACGCCCUGCUGAUUACACUAAGCCUCAGUGAGAAGGAAACUUCUCUUGGGUUCCAGCUGCUGAGAUUCCAGCGUCUUCCUGUUGUCUUCCUGUUACCGUACAUAGGAAGUAUACCAAGAACAUCUGGGCAACACUAAUGAUGAAGGCCAGUGCUACAAAGAGCAGGUGAGCCGAUGGUAGCUCAGAGAAGUUAACUCACCCAAUGUCACAGAGCCAGGAGGUGACAGAACUGAGCAGCUGGGAUUUGAAUUGCACACUGAAGACUUGUGCACUUUACUGUAGGGACACUGUGCCUCCGCUUUAGAGACACGCACGAUGGUUGUACGUGUAUUGGUUGUCAACCCUGGUGACCGUAUGGCUGAGCUGCCCAACAUCGCGAGAGAGCAUCUUACGACCUAUCGCCAGCCCAGGAAAAGAUCAAACCUCCAAGUACAGUUUCGACUGAAUGCGUACUGCUUUCUCGCCAUGAUUUUGAGCUUCUGGAAGCAGGGACAGCCAUGGAUGCAUUUAAAAAAGAAAUUUCUGAAUCUCCAGGGCUUAUCCCAGGACCUGGCACACAGCAUGUGCUUAAUAACUCCUUGUUACAUGAAUACACCCAUGAUACAUUUUGCUUCAAAUGUGGCCAGUGAAAAAAUUUCAAAGAGAGCGCUGUGCUGGGAGAAUGGAUGUGAAAGAAUAAAGGAUAAAGUCAAAGAAUUAAGUACAAAAAUACACAAGAGCUUUCAGACCGUCUUUGAUAAUAAAAGGACAUAUGCUGGACCGUGGGAUCAUGGACCACCUUUCUUUUUCCCUCUAUGAAGGGGACAAGGCAGGCUGCGACCCCAGCGUGAGUGACAGGAGUGGGGAGAGGUGUUCAGAAGAUUAAAGGCCCAAGUCACCAGAGGAUGCCGUCUCGCAAGAAUAUUUAGACAUUUUCCACUUGGCAGUCAUUAAUAUUCUCCAGCAAACGAUAAGCAGAAAACCUGUUCAAAAAGGCUCCCUCUUCAGAUCUUGGUACCCUGGAAGAUAAAGUGAAUGCUAGGGUUUUGUUUUGAAAUUAAAUAUUCAUUGGCUUGGGUUACAGCCAUUACAGUUCUUG